UACAGAGGGUGCGAGCGUUAAUCGGAAUUACUGGGCGUAAAGCGCGCGUAGGCGGCUUUGCAAGUCGGGUGUGAAAUCCCCAGGCUCAACCUGGGAACUGCAUUCGAGACUGCAUUGCUAGAGUAUGGGAGAGGGAAGUGGAAUUUCCGGUGUAGCGGUGAAAUGCGUAGAUAUCGGAAGGAACAUCAGUGGCGAAAGCGGAUCUCUGGGCCAUUACUGACGCUGAGGAGCGAAAGCGUGGGGAGCGAACAGG
rnacentral:rRNA from 1 species